rnacentral:rRNA from 1 species
GGGAGGCAGCAGUCGGGAAUUUUGGACAAUGGGCGAAAGCCUGAUCCAGCAAUGCCGCGUGCAGGAUGAAGGCCUUCGGGUUGUAAACUGCUUUUGUACGGAACGAAAAAGCUUCUCCUAAUACGAGAGGCCCAUGACGGUACCGUAAGAAUAAGCACCGGCUAACUACGUGCCAGCAGCCGCGGUAAUACGUAGGGUGCGAGCGUUAAUCGGAAUUACUGGGCGUAAAGCGUGCGCAGGCGGUUAUGUAAGACAGAUGUGAAAUCCCCGGGCUCAACCUGGGAACUGCAUUUGUGACUGCAUGGCUAGAGUACGGUAGAGGGGGAUGGAAUUCCGCGUGUAGCAGUGAAAUGCGUAGAUAUGCGGAGGGACACCGAUGGCGAAGGCAAUCCCCUGGACCUGUACUGACGCUCAUGCACGAAAGCGUGGGGAGCAAACAGGAUUAGAUACCCUGGUAGUCCACGCCCUAAACGAUGUCAACUGGUUGUUGGGAAUUAGUUUUCUCAGUAACGAAGCUAACGCGUGAAGUUGACCGCCUGGGGAGUACGGCCGCAAGGUUGAAACUCAAAUGAAUUGACGG